GGAGCAUGUGGUUUAAUUCGAAGCAACGCGAAGAACCUUACCAGGUCUUGACAUCCGAUGCUAUUUCUUAGAGAGUAGAAAGUUACUUCGGUACAUCGGUGACAGGUGGUGCAUGGUUGUCGUCAGCUCGUGUCGUGAGAUGUUGGGUUAAGUCCCGCAACGAGCGCAACCCUUACCCUUAGUUGUUUUCCCGAAAGGAUUACCCUCUAAGGGGACUGCCCCGGACAACGGGAGGAAGUGGGGAUGACGUCAAGUCCGCAUGCUCCUUACGUCUAGGGCUACACACGUCCUACAAUGGGGUCGACAGUGGGAUGCAAAGCCGCGAGGUGGAGCCAAUCCCCAAACGGCCUCUCAGUUCGGAUAGUAGUCUGCAACUCGACUACUUGAAGUCGGAAUCGCUAGUAAUGGCGGAUCAGCAUGCCGCCGUGAAUACGUUCCCGGGUCUU
rnacentral:rRNA from 1 species